CAAGAGUGUGGGUGACAGGCUCUGUGGGGGCAAGACUGAGGACAAAGAAAAGGUGCAGAAGAGCAGCAGGAGAUGAUGGUUACAGGGAACUCCUCCCACUUGACUGUUCUAGCUGGAACAUCAGUCUUUCCUGGCUUUGGACUGGAACUGAAACACUGACUCUUCCUGGCCCUCAAGCCUGCUGGGAUUUGGACUGGAACUACAUCACCAGCUCUCCUGGGUCUCCAGCUUGCUGACUGGAUCUGGGGAUUUCUUAGCCUCCGGAAUCAUGUGGGAAACCCUGGCUCAGAGGCUUUGGGUAACAAUGCCAAAGGCACACAGUUAACGAGCAGUGGAGAGGCACUCAACCACAGGUAAGUCGGGGUCCUGGCCCCUUCCAGUCCACCCUGCUGUUUCUUU